CUUUGAGAAAGGCCCCUACUGCAAGGUCAGACAGAGUAUCUGAGCUCAAGCUCCAGCUCAAGGAAAACUGCUUGUAACAGAGACAAACAAUUUCAAGGUUUCAAAGCAUUUUGGGGCCACCAGGCUCACAAACAAGCAGGGAAUUCAAAAGCAAAGCUUUACCAAGUGGGGAUGUCUCUGAUGAAACAACAAAGGAGGAAAAACAUGCCCAUACUGUUUCUGUUGCUGCCAAGGACGUUCAUCUCUUGCAUCUUCAUUCUUGCAAGAUCACACCUGGAAGAAGCUGCAUAUCAUAGUAAUAAGUGAUUCCCCCAUUGAAGGUAACAAAGGAGGAAGAUGUGCCAGGAACCUUUGGAAACUGGAGCUGGACAACAGAGAAUUCAGAGACCAACAAUGAUGGCUGCUUUCCAAAGG